GACGAACGCUGGCGGCGUGCUUAACACAUGCAAGUCGAACGGAAAGGCCCUGCUUGCAGGGUGCUCGAGUGGCGAACGGGUGAGUAACACGUGGGUGAUCUGCCCCUUACUUUGGGAUAAGCCUGGGAAACUGGGUCUAAUACUGGAUAGGACCAUGCUGUAGGUGGUGUGGUGGAAAGAUUAGUUUCGGUAAGGGAUGAGCUCGCGGCCUAUCAGCUUGUUGGUGGGGUAAUGGCCUACCAAGGCGUCGACGGGUAGCCGGCCUGAGAGGGUGGACGGCCACAUUGGGACUGAGAUACGGCCCAGACUCCUACGGGAGGCAGCAGUGGGGAAUAUUGCACAAUGGGCGCAAGCCUGAUGCAGCGACGCCGCGUGGGGGAUGACGGCCUUCGGGUUGCAAACUCCUUUCAGCCAUGACGAAGCCCUUGUGGUGACGGUAGUGGUAGAAGAAGCACCGGCUAACUACGUG
rnacentral:rRNA from 1 species